rnacentral:misc_RNA from 1 species
UCUCCGUUGGUGAACCAGCGGAGGGAUCAUUACAAGAGUUGCAAAACUCCCUAAACACUUGUGAACCUACCCGUACUGUUGCUUCGGCGGGCGGCCCCUCGGGGUCACGUCGCCCCUCGUUAGGGGUGCCCGCCAGAAGACCAAACCAAAACUCGUUUUUUUAGCGGCAUUCUGAGUCUAAAAACAAACUGUUAAAACUUUCAACAACGGAUCUCUUGGUUCUGGCAUCGAUGAAGAACGCAGC